rnacentral:rRNA from 1 species
CUGGGUGGCUAAGCGAAAGUGAUAAGUAUCCCACCUGGGGAGUACGGGCGCAAGCCUGAAACUCAAAGGAAUUGACGGGGGCCCGCACAAGCGGUGGAGCAUGUGGUUUAAUUCGAUGAUACGCGAGGAACCUUACCAGGGCUUAAAUGGGGAGCGACAGCUGCGGAAACGUGGCCUUCUUCGGACGCUCUUCAAGGUGCUGCAUGGUUGUCGUCAGCUCGUGCCGUGAGGUGUCAGGUUAAGUCCUAUAACGAGCGCAACCCCUGUUGCUAGUUGCCAGCGAGUCAAGUCGGGAACUCUAGCAAGACUGCCGGUGCAAACCGCGAGGAAGGUGGGGAUGACGUCAAAUCAUCACGGCCCUUACGCCCUGGGCUACACACGUGCUACAAUGGCCGGUACAGAGAGCAGCCACUGCGCGAGCAGGAGCGAAUCUACAAAACCGGUCUCAGUUCGGAUCGGGGUCUGCAACUCGACCCCGUGAAGCUGGAAUCGCUAGUAAUCGGAUAUCAGCCAUGAUCCGGUGAAUACGUUCCCGGGCCUUGUACACACCGCCCGUCAAGCCAUGGAAGCUGGGGGUGCCUGAAGUCGGUGA